rnacentral:rRNA from 1 species
UGGGGCCGGCGGCGUGCUAUACAUGCAAGUCGAGCGAAUCUGAGGGAGCUUGCUCCCAAAGAUUAGCGGCGGACGGGUGAGUAACACGUGGGCAACCUGCCUGUAAGACUGGGAUAACUCCGGGAAACCGGGGCUAAUACCGGAUAAUAUCUAUUUAUACAUAUAAUUAGAUUGAAAGAUGGUUCUGCUAUCACUUACAGAUGGGCCCGCGGCGCAUUAGCUAGUUGGUGAGGUAACGGCUCACCAAGGCGACGAUGCGUAGCCGACCUGAGAGGGUGAUCGGCCACACUGGGACUGAGACACGGCCCAGACUCCUACGGGAGGCAGCAGUAGGGAAUCUUCCGCAAUGGACGAAAGUCUGACGGAGCAACGCCGCGUGAGUGAUGAAGGUUUUCGGAUCGUAAAACUCUGUUGUUAGGGAAGAACAAGUAUCGGAGUAACUGCCGGUACCUUGACGGUACCUAACCAGAAAGCCACGGCUAACUACGUGCCAGCAGCCGCGGUAAUACGUAGGUGGCAAGCGUUGUCCGGAAUUAUUGGGCGUAAAGCGCGCGCAGGCGGUUCCUUAAGUCUGAUGUGAAAGCCCACGGCUCAACCGUGGAGGGUCAUUGGAAACUGGGGAACUUGAUUGCACAAGAGGAAAGUGGAAUUCCAAGUGUAACGGUGAAAUGCGUAGAGAUUUGGAGGAACACCAGUGGCGAAAGGACAUUCUGGGCUGUGACUGAGACUCAAACGCGAGAACGUGCGGAGGAUAUAGGAGUAUAUACCCUGGGAAUCCACACCGCAUACGAUGAGGGGGUGUGUGGUUCCAGAGGUUCCCCCCC